AUUGAACGCUGGCGGCAUGCCUUACACAUGCAAGUCGAACGGCAGCACGGGCUUCGGUCUGGUGGCGAGUGGCGAACGGGUGAGUGAUGUAUCGGAACGUACCAUUGAGUGGGGGAUAACGUAGCGAAAGUUACGCUAAUACCGCAUAUUCUCUCCGGAGGAAAGCAGGGGACCGCAAGGCCUUGCGCUCUUUGAGCGGCCGAUAUCAGAUUAGCUAGUUGGUGGGGUAAAAGCCCACCAAGGCGACGAUCUGUAGCGGGUCUGAGAGGAUGAUCGGGCCACCUGGAACGGACAGACGGGCCAGACUCCUACGGGAGGCAGCGGUGGGGAAUUUUGGACAAGGGGCGCAAGCCUGAUCCAGCCAUGCCGCGUGAGUGAAGAAGGCCUUCGGGUUGUAAAGCUCUUUCGGCCGGGAAAAAAUCGCAUGGGCUAAUACCCUGUGUGGAUGAUGGUACCGGAAUAAGAAGCACCGGCUAACUACGUGCCAGCCGCCGCCGUAA
rnacentral:rRNA from 1 species